AGUGAACGCUGGCGGUAGGCCUAACACAUGCAAGUCGAACGGCAGCACAGUAAGAGCUUGCUCUUACGGGUGGCGAGUGGCGGACGGGUGAGGAAUACAUCGGAAUCUACUUUUUCGUGGGGGAUAACGUAGGGAAACUUACGCUAAUACCGCAUACGACCUACGGGUGAAAGCAGGGGAUCUUCGGACCUUGCGCGAUUGAAUGAGCCGAUGUCGGAUUAGCUAGUUGGCGGGGUAAAGGCCCACCAAGGCGACGAUCCGUAGCUGGUCUGAGAGGAUGAACAGCCACACUGGAACUGUGACACGGUACAGACUCCUACGGGAGGCAGCAGUUGUGAAUAUUGGACAAUGGGCGCAAUCCUGAUCCAACCAUACCGCGUGGGUGAAGAGCGCCUCCGGGUUGUAGAGCCCUUCUUUUGGGAAAGAAAAGCAGUAGGUUAAUACCCCGCUGUUCUGACGGUACCCAAAGAAUAAGCACCCGCUAACUUCGUG
rnacentral:rRNA from 1 species